rnacentral:rRNA from 1 species
GAUGAACGCUGGCGGCGUGCUUAACACAUGCAAGCCGAACGGAAAGGCUCCUGCUUGCAGGAGUACUCGAGUGGCGAACGGGUGAGUAACACGUGGGUGAUCUGCCCUGUACUUCGGGAUAAGCUUGGGGAAAACUGGGUCUAAUACCGGAUAUGACAAUCUCUUGGAUGGGGUUGUGGAAAGCUUUUGCGGUAUGGGAUGAGCUCGCGGCCUAUCAGCUUGUUGGUGGGGUAAUGGCCUACCAAGGCGUCGACGGGUAGCCGGCCUGAGAGGGUGUACGGCCACAUUGGGACUGAGAUACGGCCCAGACUCCUACGGGAGGCAGCAGUGGGGAAUAUUGCACAAUGGGCGCAAGCCUGAUGCAGCGACGCCGCGUGGGGGAUGACGGCCUUCGGGUUGUAAACUCCUUUCGCAACCGACGAAGCUUUUUGUGACGGUAGGUUGAGAAGAAGCACCGGCUAACUACGUG